GCCUGUCUCAGUUCGGAUUGGAGGCUGAAACCCGCCUCCAUGAAGUUGGAUUCGCUAGUAAUCGCGCAUCAGCCAUGGCGCGGUGAAUACGUUCCCGGGCCUUGUACACACCGCCCGUCAAGCCAUGGAAGCUGGGGGUGCCUGAAGUUCGUGACCGGAAGGAGCGACCUAGGGCAAAACCGGUGACUGGGGCUAAGUCGUAACAAGGUACC
rnacentral:rRNA from 1 species